GUAGAACGAGCGGGGAAUACAAACCCGCUUCAUUUCCGUAUGGUGCCCUGGCAAGUGAAAAACGUCCAGUUGUAUCGUUAUUUUCCCAAAAUUCACGAGGUAAUAUGGGUGGAAUAAAUGUCUAGAGGCAGAGGCGUCCCUACCUACUAUAGGUGAAUUGUACAUCAUUGAUAGGCUACCUUCCUAAUCUUGUCUCAAAAUGUACAGUAUUGACCAGGUUCAGGCUUACUUGAAAAGCAUAAUUACCCUAAUGCUGUGUACACUGGCACCGUGUCUCAAUGCUAUUGGAACACCUGCUAUAGCUAUCCAACUAAGGGAUAUUCUGUUCGACGCCAAUAAUUUACUGGCGACACACCACCCAUAUAUAACCCCUAUAAGGCCAUCACCUGAGCAGGAAAAAGAAACAUUGUUAGCUUUUACGGACUACAUACUGACACGGUUGAGGAUGGUUGAGGGAACGAACCAUGCGUUCAAGAACAUAAUCAACGUUCUCGCCACUUAUAGGGAGCAGGCAGAUUGGAACCUGCCAUCAAAUUAAUUGUCCGUAAAAAAAAAAAUAUAUAUAUAUAUAACAUUAUGGCUAAA